UUGAGCUCUUGUUGCUCGCUGAGGACUUCAGUGAAUACACAGCACUUCCUGAACUGACUGAUAAGAGUCUAGAAGAUCUUCUGUGCAGCUUCCACUUCAUUCAGAACUGCUGUGUGAUCCUGAUCCUCUUGAUAUCUUCUUGUGGAAAGAUGAAGCUCUCUGUGUCUUACACAUUAGAGAUGACGUAGAGAUCACCAACAUUUAUAGUGACAAAGGUGCCUCGAGGAAGAGGGAGUUUUCAUUCCUCUCAGUACACAACUGUCAAAGAUUAAGCAGACGCCGCGUACAAAACAGAAGACACCUACACUCUUCUCGACACUGACGACGAAGUCUACAGUUUCUGCAGAGUUCUACGCUGGGAACGUCACCAGUUUCAUUGACGAAUUACCCAUGAAGAUUCUUGUGGAACAUAACAACCUCCGAAUCGUUGGUCACAACACCACCUUAAGCUUCUCCUCUUAACCUGGACUCCUAUCAUUGUUCCUGUCAUGUCCAUUUAUUUGGUAAUACUUUCCACUUUUUAAAAAACACCUUUCAUGUCCAUUUAUUGCUUUUAACCUCUGUACAUAUCUAAAAAUGUAUAUUAUAU